CCUACGGGGGGCAGCAGUGAGGAAUAUUGGUCAAUGGACGCGAGUCUGAACCAGCCAAGUAGCGUGAAGGAUGACUGCCCUAUGGGUUGUAAACUUCUUUUAUAUGGGAAUAAAAUGUUCCACGUGUGGGAUUUUGUAUGUACCAUAUGUAUAAGGAUCGGCUAACUCCGUGCCAGCAGCCGCGGUAAUACGGAGGAUCCGAGCGUUAUCCGGAUUUAUUGGGUUUAAAGGGAGCGUAGGUGGAUUGUUAAGUCAGUUGUGAAAGUUUGCGGCUCAACCGUAAAAUUGCAGUUGAAACUGGCAGUCUUGAGUACAGUAGAGGUGGGCGGAAUUCGUGGUGUAGCGGUGAAAUGCUUAGAUAUCACGAAGAACUCCGAUUGCGAAGGCAGCUCGCUGGACUGCAACUGACACUGAGGCUCGAAAGUGUGGGUAUCAAACAGGAUUAGAUACCCUAGUAGUC
rnacentral:rRNA from 1 species